AUGGGGAUGAGGCAAAGGCGGAUCCGGGCGUGGCCCGGGCUGGGCGCUCCGGAAGUCCGGGCGGCCGUGACCCUGCUGGAGUCCGGGGGGGACCUCCAGCCCCCCGGGGGGUCCCUGCGCCUCCUCUGCCGAGGGGAUGGAUUUGAGUUCGGGAAAUUCGGGAUGUUCUGGAUCCGGCAGAGACCCGGGAAGGGGCUGGAAUACGUCGCGAGCAUCAACAGCGGUGGCAGCACCUGGUACGCGCCAUCUGUGAAGGGCCGGUUCACCAUCAGCAGGGACAACGGGCAGAGCUCGGUGACGCUGAGCAUGAACAACCUCCAGGACGAGGAUUCCGGGGUUUAUUUCUGUGCCAAACGUUACAAUGAUGGUUACGAUGCUGCU